CGGACGGGUGAGUAACGCGUGAGAAUCUGCCUUCAGGUCGGGGACAACCACUGGAAACGGUGGCUAAUACCCGAUGUGCGCAACGUGAAAGAUUUAUCGCCUGAAGAGGAGCCCGCGUCUGAUUAGCUAGUUGGUGGGGUAAAAGCUCACCAAGGCGACGAUCAGUAGCUGGUCUGAGAGGAUGAUCAGCCACACUGGGACCGAGACACGGCCCAGACUCCUACGGGAGGCAGCAGUGGGGAAUUUUCCGCAAUGGGCGAAAGCCUGACGGAGCAAGACCGCGUGAGGGAGGAAGGCUCUUGGGUUGUAAACCUCUUUUCUCAGGGAAGAACACAAUGACGGUACCUGAGGAAUCAGCCUCGGCUAACUCCGUGCCAGCAGCUGCGGUAAUACGGAGGAGGCAAGCGUUAUCCGGAAUUAUUGGGCGUAAAGCGUCCGCAGGUGGCACUUCAAGUCUGUCGUCAAAGACUGGGGCUUAACCCUGGAAAGGCGGUGGAAACUGAAGCGCUAGAGUGUGGUAGGGGUAGAGGGAAUUCCCGGUGUAGCGGUGAAAUGCGUAGAGAUCGGGAAGAACAUCUUUGGCGAAGGCGCUCUACUGGACCACAACUGACACUCACGGACGAAAGCUAUACGAGAGAAUGGGAUUAGAAACCACAUUACUC
rnacentral:rRNA from 1 species